CCUAACACAUGCAAGUCGAACGCUUCAGCAAUGAAGAGUGGCAGACGGGUGAGUAACGCGUGGGAACCUUCCCAGUGGUACGGAAUAGCCCAGGGAAACUUGGGGUAAUACCGUAUAAGCCCUUCGGGGGAAAGAUUUAUCGCCAUUGGAUGGGCCCGCGUCGGAUUAGCUUGUUGGUGAGGUAAAAGCUCACCAAGGCGACGAUCCGUAGCUGGUCUGAGAGGAUGAUCAGCCACACUGGGACUGAGACACGGCCCAGACUCCUACGGGAGGCAGCAGUGGGGAAUAUUGGACAAUGGGCGCAAGCCUGAUCCAGGCCAUGCCGCGUGAGUGACGAAGGCCUUAGGGUUGUAAAGCUCUUUUGGCGGGGACGAUAAUGACGGUACCCGCAGAAUAAGCUCCGGCUAACUUCGUG
rnacentral:rRNA from 1 species